rnacentral:rRNA from 1 species
UGGGGAAUCUUCCGCAAUGGACGAAAGUCUGACGGAGCAACGCCGCGUGAGUGAUGACGGCCUUCGGGUUGUAAAGCUCUGUUAAUCGGGACGAAUGGUUCCUGUGCAAAUAGUGUGAGGAUUUGACGGUACCGGAAUAGAAAGCCACGGCUAACUACGUGCCAGCAGCCGCGGUAAUACGUAGGUGGCAAGCGUUGUCCGGAAUUAUUGGGCGUAAAGCGCGCGCAGGCGGAUUGGUCAGUCUGUCUUAAAAGUUCGGGGCUUAACCCCGUGAUGGGAUGGAAACUGCCAAUCUAGAGUAUCGGAGAGGAAAGUGGAAUUCCUAGUGUAGCGGUGAAAUGCGUAGAUAUUAGGAAGAACACCAGUGGCGAAGGCGACUUUCUGGACGAAAACUGACGCUGAGGCGCGAAAGCCAGGGGAGCGAACGGGAUUAGAUACCCCGGUAGUCCUGGCCGUAAACGAUGGGUACUAGGUGUAGGAGGUAUCGACCCCUUCUGUGCCGGAGUUAACGCAAUAAGUACCCCGCCUGGGGAGUACGACCGCAAGGUUG